rnacentral:rRNA from 1 species
AUUGAACGCUGGCGGCAUGCCUUACACAUGCAAGUCGAACGGCAGCACGGGUGCUUGCACCUGGUGGCGAGUGGCGAACGGGUGAGUAAUACAUCGGAACAUGUCCUUUAGUGGGGGAUAGCCCGGCGAAAGCCGGAUUAAUACCGCAUACGAUCUACGGAUGAAAGGGGGGGACCUUCGGGCCUCGCGCUGUUGGGUUGGCCGAGGGCUGUUUAGCUAGUUUGGGGGGGAAAGGCCUACCAAGGCGACGAUAAGGAUCUGGUCUGAGAGGACGAGCAGCCACACUGGGACUGAGACACGGCCCAGACUCCUACGGGAGGCAGCAGUGGGGAAUUUUGGACAAUGGGCGAAAGCCUGAUCCAGCAAUGCCGCGUGUGUGAAGAAGGCCUUCGGGUUGUAAAGCACUUCUGUCCGGAAAGAAAUCCUUGGCCCUAAUACGGUCGGGGGAUGACGGUACCGGAAGAAUAAGCACCGGCUAACUACGUG